UACAGAGGGGGCGAGCGUUAUUCGGAAUUAUUGGGCGUAAAGGGCGCGUAGGCGGCCUUUCAAGUGACGGGUGAAAUCCCCCGGCUUAACCGGGGAACUGCCUGUCAGACUGGGAGGCUUGAGACCGGGAGAGGUGAGUGGAAUUCCCAGUGUAGCGGUGAAAUGCGUAGAUAUUGGGAGGAACACCAGUGGCGAAGGCGGCUCACUGGACCGGUACUGACGCUGAUGCGAGAAAGCGUGGGGAGCAAACAGG
rnacentral:rRNA from 1 species